AUCACGAUGAACACCCAUGGCACCACGGUCAGGUGUCCGCGCAGGAGGUCAGUCAGCACCGACCAUUUGUGAAAGGGCCCUUACUCAUGUGACGAAGAAUCACACAGCUCCCUAUCUUUAUUCAAUAGGAGACCACUAACCGUUACAACCAUACAAUGGCUCUCGCGUAUCGCUCCGCAGCAGCCGAAGAAAGCGAUCACGAACAUGAUCGCGCCGAUCACGAUGAACACCCAUGGCGCCACGGUCAGGUGUCCGCGCAGGAGGUCAGUCAGCACCGACCAUUUGUGAAAGGGCCCUUACUCAUGUGACGAAGAAUCACACAGCUCCCUAUCUUUAUUCAAUAGGAGACCACUAACCGUUACAACCAUACAAUGGCUCUCGCGUAUCGCUCCGCAGCAGCCGAAGAAAGCGAUCACGAACAUGAUCGCGCCGAUCACGAUGAACACCCAUGGCGCCACGGUCAGGUGUCCGCGCAGGAGGUCAGUCAGCACCGACCAUUUGAGCAGCACGGCCACACCGACUCCGAUCACAG